CGGCAGGGUAGCCUAGUGGUUAGAGUGGAGGGGCGGCAGGGUAGCCUAGUGGUUAGAGUGGAGGGGCGGCAGGGUAGCCUAGUGGUUAGAGUGGAGGGGCGGCAGGGUAGCCUAGUGGUUAGGGUGGAGGGGCGGCAGGGUAGCCUAGUGGUUAGAGUGGAGGGGCGGCAGGGUAGCCUAGUGGUUAAAGUGGAGGGGCGGCAGGGUAGCCUAGUGGUUAGAGUGUAGAGGCGGCAGGGUAGCCUAGUGGUUAGAGUGGAGGGGCGGCAGGGUAGCCUAGUGGUUAGAGUGGAGGGGCGGCAGGGUAGCCUAGUGGUUAGAGUGGAGGGGAGGCAGGGUAGCCUAGUGGUUAGAGUGGAGGGGCGGCAGGGUAGCCUAGUGGUUAGAGUGGAGGGGCGGCAGGGUAGCCUAGUGGUUAGAGGGGAGGGGCGGCAGGGUAGCCUAGUGGUUAGAGUGGAGGGGCGGAAGGGUAGCCUAGUGGUUAGAGUGGAGGGGCGGCAGGGUAGCCUAGUGGUUAGAGUGGAGGGGCGGCAGGGUAGCCUAGUGGUUAGAUUGUAGAGGCGGCAGGGUAGCCUAGUGGUUAGAGUGGAGGGGCGGCAGGGUAGCCUAGUGGUUAGAGUGGAGGGGCG
ensembl:lncRNA